rnacentral:rRNA from 1 species
AUUGAACGCUGGCGGCAGGCCUAACACAUGCAAGUCGAACGAGUGGCGGACGGGUGAGUAAUGUCUGGGAAACUGCCUGAUGGAGGGGGAUAACUACUGGAAACGGUAGCUAAUACCGCAUACCAUCAGAUGUGCCCAUAUGGGAUUAGCUUGUUGGUGGGGUAACGGCUCACCAAGGCGAAGAUCCCUAGCUGGUUUGAGAGGAUGACCAGCCACACGGGAACGGUGACACGGUCCAGACUCCUACGGGAGGCAGCAGUGGGGAAUUUUGCACAAUGGGGGCAAUCCGGAUCCAGCCAUGCCGCGUGUAUGAAGAAGUCCUUCGGGUUGUAAAGUACUUUCAGCAGGGAAGCGGUACCCGCAGAAGAAGCACCGGCUAACUCCGUGCCAGCAGCCGCGGUAAUUC